AUUGAACGCUGGCGGCAUGCCUUACACAUGCAAGUCGAACGGUAACGGGCCUUCGGGUGCCGACGAGUGGCGAACGGGUGAGUAAUACAUCGGAACGUGCCCGAUCGUGGGGGAUAACGAGGCGAAAGCUUUGCUAAUACCGCAUACGAUCUACGGAUGAAAGCAGGGGACCGCAAGGCCUUACGCGGACGGAGCGGCCGAUGGCAGAUUAGGUAGUUGGUGGGAUAAAAGCUUACCAAGCCGACGAUCUGUAGCUGGUCUGAGAGGAUGAUCCGCCACACUGGAACUGAGACACGGCCCAGACUCCUACGGGAGGCAGCAGUGGGGAAUUUUGGACAAUGGGCGCAAGCCUGAUCCAGCCAUGCCGCGUGCAGGAUGAAGGCCUUCGGGUUGUAAAAUGCUUUUGUACGGAACGAAAAGCCUUCUUUUAAUACAGGAGGGUCAUGACGGUACCGUAAGAAUAAGCACCGGCUAACUACGUG
rnacentral:rRNA from 1 species